CGGGCUGGCCGGGCGACCGCGUUCGUCUCCUCACGGAGGCGGCCGAGGAAGGUCCGGGCUCCGAAGAGCAAGGUGGUGGCCAACAGCCACCCGGGGUGACCCGCGGGACAGUGCCACAGAGAACAGACCGCCGCUCACUCCGUUCAUUCGGAGAGAGAGGUAAGGGUGAAACGGUGGUGUAAGAGACCACCAGCGUGCCGGGUGACCGGUGCGGCUAGGUAAACCCCACCUGGAGCAAGAUCAAGAAGCCGCUCCUUCUUCGGAAGGGACGGUGCGUACACGUUCGAGGGCUGCUCGCCCGAGUGUGCGGGUGGAUCGCCAGAGGUUGUCGGCAACGGCAGCCCUAGAUGGAUGGUCGCCAACCGGGGCAACGCAAGGAAUCCCGGCGAACAGAACCCGGCCUAUGAGCCAGCCCGUCCG
rnacentral:RNase_P_RNA from 2 species